AGAUGCUGUCAUGGCUACAGAAUAGAGGACAAGAAGUAAUGACAUCAUUCAGACGUAUGCAAUGGUAUUCUUGCUGUGCGCCUUGCUGUGGUAUCUGAGAACCCUUCAUACUUGCAGGGAGAAAGGUCGGUGAGGUCAUCUUGUUUUAUUGGACCAACCUCUGUUGGUGGAAGAUACAAGCUUUCAAGCUUCGCAGAGGUCUUCUUCAGGUCACUUGCAUGUACUUUGUCCUUGCACAGCUUGUCUAAUUAAGGUUGAUCUGAUCUCUGGUUCUCUUCCCCCUACAUCCUGAGCUACUGGGAGGUUGUAUUAUUAUUUAUUAGCAUUAGAGACCUAAGAGGAAGAAGUGAGAUUUACAUUUUGUCUUGCUGCUAUGAGACUGGUGGCUGUUCUAAUUUCCUGCAGAAAUUAGUUCUGCUGCUGGACCACAGCCGUAGAAAAGAUUCCAUCUCCCAUCCUCACUAGUUUCACUGGCACCCACUGUAUUCAGCAGAGUACUCUAGUAACUUACUCUUGUCAGCAUGUGCUAGUUUAUAGGGAGGCAGCUGUGUACUGAACCACCUGGAACUCUUCCAUGGUCUGUCAACCUACCUUCUUGGGUACAGUACACAAACCCCAAAUCUGCAUGUGAAAGUGGCACCUGCGCAGCACUUUCAGUUGAAUCAGAAGCCUAACCAUCUGACCAGGACAAAUGCCAUGUGCAUAUUCAAAUGAUGAUGUGUGCAAAAUCAUAAGCACAGAUUUAGAAUGUUCAGAAAUUUGCCACUUAAACUGUGUAACCCACUCAGAGCAGUAAUGAUGGUUGGGCCACAGCUAGAGGUUGAUGAGCCUGCUACCUUCUUAGCUAACAGAUCUGGGUCUUCUAGCUCAGACAGCAGAGGCUCAUUCUUUAGGUGCAGAGAUGCCAAGUUCAGUCCCUGUUGCUGAUCAUCCACCCAGGAGUACUGGGUUACAAGUGCAAAACAAAAACUGUUAUGGAAAUUACAAUGUGUAUGUGAUUCUAAGAGCCCCUCAGUGCUGCUGGCAAAGGGUUAACUGUUCUCUAACAGCAACACCUAUCAGGCCUGACAAAUUCACUACACCUAACACACUGCUUUCAUAGGAUUUACCCAAAACAGGUGGUGUCAGGUGUCUAAUAAAAGCUUAUGUCUCACUAAUCCUCAUAAUCAUUGCAAGAAGUAUGUACGGAUAUUUAAGGAGUUGCAUAUAUGCCCUGAAAAUACAUUUUAAAGUCUGUGUCCUACACAGAAUUGACAACAAGGUUGUGCCAGACAAAGCGAUGUAUGUUCACUUGGCUGCCUAAGUUCAUAUGUAGAUGAAGCAUUGUAAAUUAGCACAAUGGAAGCCCAUUUUGCAUGCAGUAUCAACAUGAGUUUGUGAAAACAACCUGAAGCCAGCACACCACCAAAGAAACCACAGGGGUCAUCCUGACUCUGGGACAAACCAAGGAGAAGCAAAAGGACACAUCUUUAUCCUUCACUGAGGAAACAAAAAGGACAGUGCUUUUUGCAUUCAUGAAAGUUGGAUCCCAGCCAUAUCGGCUGGUGAUGCUGGGAGAUUGCUUUAGGUGAGAAUUACUUUAGACAAGGCUUGUGGCCUUUAUAAGUUGCAUUUAGAGUCUAAGAAGCAUGUUACAUAUUGUGUUUAAUGUAACCAUUUCUGUUUCCAUCAUUAUCCUUAUUCACUAUUUCCUAAUUCUUAGCCUUUGAUGAUAAACUUAAUUAUUUUCACUAUAAAUGUAUCUCAGUGCUGUGAUGUUAUAAAGGACCUGAUCCUGAGUUGUACCCGUCAUGCUGUGUGUAUAUUGUUCCCUUUGGGACAGCAAACCUGGAAAUUUCUGUGAGUGUCCAGUGACAGGGCUGGAUACUACAAGGGACAAUUUCAGAGGGGUUCAGGGGCUGGGUACACCUGUUGUUACCAGCAAGGCCAAGUAAGGGCUGGCAGAACCAUGAAGAAUUAGGUACCUAACAGACUGAUGGUGCCAGGGAGCUGAUAUCCUGCAAAGCACAAACAUGUCUCUUUCUGAGGCAGCGGGAUAACAGUGUAUGUAACAGGGGACACCAUUUUUAAACUUGCUAAGCAGGUCCUGGAGAUAUCACCAGAUGAGUUGAUAUCAGGGUAGUCAGAGAAGCUGCCAGUCUGAUGUGAGAGGGGAUUGCUUUCAAGGGAUUAAAGCUAUUGACUUUUCUUUUUAACUUUGUAAUGUGGCUGAGAAUGCCCCAUCUGGUUUAGCUUAUGAGAGGUAUCUAGAAGUGUCUAGAAAUGUUAAAUGAACAAUUUCUUUAGUUUAAAUUACAUUGUCUUUUUUAAUAAAUCUUGUUUUUGUUAAGA